UCGGCAACGGAUAUCUCGGCUCUCGCAUCGAUGAAGAACGUAGCGAAAUGCGAUACUUGGUGUGAAUUGCAGAAUCCCGUGAACCAUCGAGUCUUUGAACGCAAGUUGCGCCCGAAGCCAUUAGGCCGAGGGCACGUCUGCCUGGGCGUCACGCAUCGCGUCGCCCCCCUCCCCGCGCU
rnacentral:rRNA from 2 species